rnacentral:tRNA from 1 species
GUCUCUGAUAGCUCAAUUGCUAGAGCCUUCGGCGCGUAACUAGAUGACCCGGGUUCGGAUCCCGGUCUGGACU